AGUCGAGCGCACUCUUCGGAGUGAGCGGCGGACGGGUUAGUAACGCGUGGGAAUAUGCCCUUUCACUACGGAAUAGCCNCGGAGAAACUGGAAAGUAAUACCGNAUACUNCCUUCGGGGGAAAGAUUUAUCGNCGAUGGAUUAGCCCGCGUCUGAUUAGAUAGUUGGUGGGGUAACGGCCUACCAAGUCGACGAUCAAUAGCUGGUUUGAGAGGAUGAUCAGCNACACUGGGACUGAGACACGGCCCAGACUCCUACGGGAGGCAGCAGUGGGGAAUCUUAGACAAUGGGCGAAAGCCUGAUCUAGCCAUGCCGCGUGAGUGACGAAGGCCCUAGGGUCGUAAAGCUCUUUCGCCAGGGAUGAUAAUGACAGUACCUGGNAAAGAAACCCCGGCUAACUCCGUGCCAGCAGCCGCGGUAAUACGGAGGGGGNUAGCGUUGUUCGGAAUUACUGGGCGUAAAGCGNACGUAGGCGGAUUGNAAAGUAUGGGGUGAAAUCCCAAGGCUCAACCCNGGAACUGCCCUG
rnacentral:rRNA from 1 species